GACGUAUCGCAACACUUGCUUACGUUUGUAAACAACUUUGUUUAUUUACGCCGACACGGCCAUUCUGCAAAUAGGUCACCCUCGACCUAUCAAACAAAAUAAAAUCUGCAGUACAUUUUAGCUGACCAAAGCUUAAGGGUAAAGAAACUGUUGUCCUCUGCUCAUCUCAAACAUUGCAAAAGUAAGGAAGUUCCUGUCCUCAAUUCACCCCAAUCAUUGUAAGGAGGUCCCUGUCCCAACUUACAUCAGGUAUUUUGUAAAAAUAAGGAGGCGCCUGUCCUCAACUUACAUCAGGUAAUUGAAAAUGUAAGGAGGCCCCUGUCCUCAACUUACAUCAGGUAACUGAAAAGUAAGGAGGCCCCUGUCCUCAACUUACAUCAUUCAUUGCAGAAAUAAGGAGGCCCCUGUCCUCAACUUAUGUUACUCAAGAAAAGAAUAUGCAAC
rnacentral:misc_RNA from 1 species